AACUGUGUGGACAGAAUGACAGAAUGACAACCCAACUGCGUAGUACCCGCCUACGCGAGUCCAAUAAUGGAUCAGUCACUGAUUGUUCUGUUACUAAGAAAUUCACUGAAUUUAACUUAUCAGUGACUCCAUACCCAGUGAAACGUGGGGAAAUAUUCUAUUUGCAAGGAGUACUAAAGAUCAAGAGAACCAUACAUUGGGGUAUACUACAUGCCACAGCAUACUACAUGCCACAGCGACAUACAAUUACAGGGAUUACACUAAUAUUACUUUCUUGGAUGACAAAUUCAAUUUAUGCGACCUCUUAUAUGAUUUUAUUAAGGAAUAUUGUCCAAUAAAACCAGGAACAUAUCAUAUAAACAUUCCUUCUGGACUGCCAAGCAUCUUAUGGCCAGGUCAGUAUUAUGGUAAAGUAACUGCUUACAAUGAGAAAGGAGAGCAGAUAAUGUGUAUAAUGAAACAAGCCACCGUUGAAUAAUGAACAUAAUUAUUAUUAACACAUGCAUGUAAUAUACACAACAUAAAGAGACAAAAAUAAAAAUAGAUGGACAAGUUUUGAGACAGUUAUAUACUUUA